CUCUGGAGAAGAACAAAGGGGUGCAAACCCUAGUUCUUAAAGAAGUUCCAAAUUGAAGGUUGAAUCGAAGCUCAAAAUCAUGAAUAAACACGAAUUAAUGCUCACCAUCACAAGAGGAUCAAAAGCAUUAGGGAUCAUGUGGAAAUGGACUCGAGCAAGAAAGACUAACGGGUUAAGAGGAGACAAGAAAGUGGAUGCGAAAACGGACGCUCAAGGUUGUACGAAUGACAAAUUAUCUUCAUGAGGUGUAGCGAUCAAGGUCCGAGUUGCAAGAUAGAUUGUACGGGGAUCCUGGAGUAUGUAAAAUGAUAGACAUAAGUUAGACUUUCAUUUUGUAAAUGAGUACGAAGGUUGCGUAUAUUGUAAAAAGGUUAUUUUAUAUUGAAGUUUCAAGUAGUAUAAAACGUUUUUAAUGAAAGAAAUUUUAUGGUA